CCUACGGGGGGCAGCAGUCGAGAAUCAUUCACAAUGGGGGAAACCCUGAUGGUGCGACGCCGCGUGAGGGAUGACGGUCCUACGGAUUGUAAACCUCUUUUGCCGGGGAGCAAGCGUGCGUUCGUGAACGCGCGUCGAGAGUACCCGGAGAAAAAGCAUCGGCUAACUCCGUGCCAGCAGCCGCGGUAAUACGGAGGAUGCGAGCGUUAUCCGGAUUUAUUGGGUUUAAAGGGUGCGUAGGCGGGAUGCCAAGUCAGCGGUAAAAAUGCGGUGCUCAACGCCGUCGAGCCGUUGAAACUGGCGUUCUUGAGUGGGCGAGAAGUAUGCGGAAUGCGUGGUGUAGCGGUGAAAUGCAUAGAUAUCACGCAGAACUCCGAUUGCGAAGGCAGCAUACCGGCGCCCUACUGACGCUGAGGCACGAAAGCGUGGGUAUCGAACAGGAUUAGAUACCCUAGUAGUC
rnacentral:rRNA from 1 species